AUUGAACGCUGGCGGAAUGCUUUACACAUGCAAGUCGAACGGCAGCACGGACUUCGGUCUGGUGGCGAGUGGCGAACGGGUGAGUAAUGUAUCGGAACGUGCCCAGUCGUGGGGGAUAACGUAGUGAAAAUUACGCUAAUACCGCAUACGAUCUAUGGAUGAAAGCGGGGGAUCGCAAGACCUCGCGCGAUUGGAGAGGCCGAUAUCAGAUUAGGUAGUUGGUGGGGUAAAGGCCCACCAAGCCAACGAUCGGUAGCUGGUCUGAGAGGACGACCAGCCAACCUGGAACUGAGACACGGUCCAGACUCCUACGGGAGGCAGCAGUGGGGAAUUUUGGACAAUGGGCGAAAGCCUGAUCCAGCCAUUCCGCGUGCAGGAUGAAGGCCCUCGGGUUGUAAACUGCUUUUGUACAGAACGAAAAGGUUUCUACUAAUACUAGGAGCUCAUGACGGUACUGUAAGAAUAAGCACCGGCUAACUACGUGCCAGCAGCCGCCGUAA
rnacentral:rRNA from 1 species